rnacentral:tRNA from 1 species
GCAACUUUGGCCGAGUUGGUUAAGGCGCCAGACUCAAGAGUUUUCCCUCUUUCACUAAUUUAUGUGUGAGCAUUCUGGUCACGAAAGUGGCGUGGGUUCGAAUCCCACAGGUUGCA